rnacentral:sRNA from 1 species
GUCAGGUGUGGUGGCACAGGCCUGUAAUCUCAGCUACUUGGGAGGCUGAGGCAGGAGGAUUGCAAGUUAGAUGCCAAUAUGGGCAAUUUAGCAAGACCUUGUCUCAA